rnacentral:rRNA from 1 species
UUAGGCUGGGAAAUAGGCAAAUCCGUUUCCCAUAAGGCUGAGCUGUGAUGGCGAGCGAAAUAUAGUAGCGAAGUUCCUGAUUCCACACUGCCAAGAAAAGCCUCUAGCGAGGUGAGAGGUGCCCGUACCGCAAACCGACACAGGUAGGCGAGGAGAGAAUCCUAAGGUGAUCGAGAGAACUCUCGUUAAGGAACUCGGCAAAAUGACCCCGUAACUUCGGGAGAAGGGGUGCUCUGUUAGGGUGCAAGCCCGAGAGAGCCGCAGUGAAUAGGCCCAGGCGACUGUUUAGCAAAAACACAGGUCUCUGCGAAGCCGUAAGGCGAAGUAUAGGGGCUGACGCCUGCCCGGUGCUGGAAGGUUAAGAGGAGCGCUUAGCGUAAGCGAAGGUGCGAAUUGAAGCCCCAGUAAACGGCGGCCGUAACGAUAACGGUCCUAGGUAGCGAAAUUCCUUGUCGGGUAAGUUCCGACCCGCACGAAAGGCGCAACGAUCUGGGCACUGUCUCAACGAGAGACUCGGUGAAAUUAUAGUACCUGUGAAGAUGCAGGUUACCCGCGACAGGACGGAAAGACCCCGUGGAGCUUUACUGCAGCCUGAUAUUGAAUGUUGGUACAGCUUGUACAGGAUAGGUAGGAGCCUUGGAAACCGGAGCGCCAGCUUCGGUGGAGGCAUCGGUGGGAUACUACCCUGGCUGUAUUGACCUUCUAACCCGCCGCCCUUAUCGGGCGGGGAGACAGUGUCAGGUGGGCAGUUUGACUGGGGCGGUCGCCUCCUAAAAGGUAACGGAGGCGCCCAAAGGUUCCCUCAGAAUGGUUGGAAAUCAUUCGCAGAGUGUAAAGGCACAAGGGAGCUUGACUGCGAGACCUACAAGUCGAGCAGGGGCGAAAGUCGGGCUUAGUGAUCCGGUGGUUCCGCAUGGAAGGGCCAUCGCUCAACGGAUAAAAGCUACCCCGGGGAUAACAGGCUUAUCUCCCCCAAGAGUCCACAUCGACGGGGAGGUUUGGCACCUCGAUGUCGGCUCAUCGCAUCCUGGGGCUGUAGUCGGUCCCAAGGGUUGGGCUGUUCGCCCAUUAAAGCGGUACGCGAGCUGGGUUCAGAACGUCGUGAGACAGUUCUGUCCCUAUCCGUCGCGGGCGCAGGAAAUUUGAGAGGAGCUGUCCUUAGUACGAGAGGACCGGGAUGGACGCACCGCUGGUGUACCAGUUGUUCUGCCAAGGGCAUCGCUGGGUAGCUAUGUGCGGACGGGAUAAGUGCUGAAAGCAUCUAAGCAUGAAGCCCCCCUCAAGAUGAGAUUUCCCAUUCCGCAAGGAAGUAAGAUCCCUGAAAGAUGAUCAGGUUGAUAGGUCUGAGGUGGAAGAGUGGCGACACAUGGAGCUGACAGAUACUAAUCGAUCGAGGACUUAACC